UAAACUAGUCACAUUAGAGUCAGGAUUUGAACCCAGGCAGUCUGGCUUCAACGCCAAGCUUCCCCUCAAUCACUUCUACCAUCAGAUAAUAUUGCUUCAUACUCACAGUGUUAGCACCAAGAAUGUAAGUUUAGCUAACUGAUCAUAUGAAUUUUGUUGAAAUUCUGUUUAUUUUUCUUCCAGAGAACUCAAUAUGGAACACUUUUUCUCUUUUGAUUCAGACAACUUAUGGAGAUUUUGAUCCUGUACUGAAAGGAACUGAAUGUGGAAAUUUUUGGAGUGUCCAUUCAAUGCCUCCCUGGAGUCUCUGCCAAAGGAAACAUUAGACACGACUCUGUCUGGAUCCAGCUACUACAUCUAUGAUGCUGUGGAUGUGGUGGCCUGAGCCCUCCAUGAAAUACUUUUUAUAAAAGCAGAACAGGGGUCCAUAAUGGAUGCAGGCCAGCUCAUGUUUCUCCCUUAGCAGGUUGCAAGUAAACCUCUAAUGAUUGUAGGGUCUAAUUAGCAACAGUGUCAACUCUUUUAACUAGAAAUAAUUGAUUAAAAACUUUCACUGUGAGAGGUAGGAAGAAGCAGGCUGUCUUUCUUUGUCUCUUCUUGAGCUCAAGGAAACUCCCUAGCACCCCUAAAGCAAACCUCAUUGCUCAAGCUCCACCCAUUCCUAAGAAACACCCAAUUUAAAAAAAGCACUGGAGCUCACGUGUCACUGGAUGAGAAAAGAAACUCUGUGUCACAGCAUAUAAUUCUGAACUAUAUGAUUUUCCUAAAGGUCUUGGACUUCAGGUGAAAGACGUUCUGUCAGCCAGGAUUCAGGAACAUCCCUCAGGAAGAGAGAGCUACCUGCUGCUUUGUCUGUGUAUUGUGCCCAGAGAGAGAAAUAUGUAAUCAGACAGAAAAGAAAAGUGUCUGUGGGGCUCAAGUUUGAGUUGAAACCAGGCUCAGGGUCCACCUGUCCUCGCUGAUCCGUGGAUUUCUGUGUGACCAGCUGACACCUAUGGAGCUGUGGCCCUGACUACUACCAGUGAGUAUUCCUGGCCCUCAUCUCCUGGGUUCCAUCCCCAUUUGGGGUUGGGGAGCAGUGGUUCUCCUGCACCCACUGUCCUUGGUGAGAGAAGGACCUGGAAGGGCCCUAACUCAUCCCUUCUCUCUCUCCCGUGUUCUGGUGGAGAGUUCCAGCCCAGGGUGAGAAAGCCUUAGUG